UUCGCCACGUCGAUCUGCUCAUUUUGCGAGAGCAGUUUGCCGAUCGAUUCACGGAUCGCAGGAUGCCAGCUUACGGCGCGGCUUACCGCAUCGUUAAGCGUCAGGUUGCCGGGCGCGGCGGCGCUCAGCGGGAGUUCGGCCACCGAUCCAUCCAGAGAGGGGAGCAUCUGGCUGGUGGCCAGCCCUUCCGGCGUGAUGACUUGCGGUUCAUCUUCGGCAUUAACCCGCAGCGAACAGAGCGUGAAUGCCAGCAGUAAAGCGACAGAGGUGACAUUUCUCAUCGUUUAUCCCUUACAAAAUACGGCAGUGACGGCUGUUAUUGCCCCGGACGUCGUGGCAUCCGGGGCUGUUG
rnacentral:sRNA from 1 species